rnacentral:lncRNA from 1 species
UAUAUAAAACACAUGAUUGAAUGAUUGAUCAUAAUUUUUUCUUUCUUAUGGUUAAACUUAAGGAGUAGUUCUUUGAAUAAAAUUAAUUAAUUAUUUUACAUAUUUUCUAUGACAAUGACACUAAUUCAACUAGUUCUCUUUCAAUUUGCUUCUAUGUGAUACAUCAAAAUUAUUAAGGAUCUACUAGUCUUUUAUUUGAUCAUUGUAUCUUUUAAACCUCUUUUAGGUAUCU